GGGCCGUUAGCUCAAUUGGCAGAGCACGGGACUCUUAAUCCUGGGGUUACAGGUUCGACUCCUGUACGGCCCACCA
rnacentral:tRNA from 2 species